GAUCCUGCUCAGAUUGAACGCUGGCGGCAGGCCUAACACAUGCAAGUCGAACGGUAACAGGAAGAAGCUUGCUUCUUUGCUGACGAGUGGCGGACGGGUGAGUAAUGUCUGGGAAACUGCCUGAUGGAGGGGGAUAACUACUGGAAACGGUAGCUAAUACCGCAUAACGUCGCAAGACCAAAGAGGGGGACCUUCGGGCCUCUUGCCAUCGGAUGUGCCCAGAUGGGAUUAGCUAGUAGGUGGGG
rnacentral:rRNA from 1 species